UUACAAUAUAAUUUAUCACGUUCGUACAAUAUAAUUAUCACGUUCUUACAAUAUAAUUUAUCACGUUCUUACAAUAUAAUUAUCACGUUCGUACAAUAUAAUUAUCACGUUUGUACAAUAAACUAUAUUGUACGAACGUGAAAAACUUAUUGUUCGAACAAUAUACUUUUCACGUUAUAACGUAAUACUGAUUUUUUUUUUUUUUUCUGGUGUGGCAGCAAUACGCUUCCGUACAAUAUAACUCAUAUCAGGUCAAUGAGUGAGAAAUGAGAGAGAGAGAAUCAUGAGUGACUAAAACAAAACCUGGAUAACAAAUGGGGACGGGAAAGAAGUGGAAUGCCUCUUUCUUCGUUCUUCUUAGUAGCCUACAUUCAUUCAACUCGGAGUAGAAUGACCGCCCCAAGAUGGCCGCCGCAUUUCUCCCUGCCCGGCAGCCGUGCGGCGUCUACUCUUUAUAUGUCUAUGCGUGCACCGCCCAAAGAUGUAUUUGCGCCGCCCACCUCUCCCUGCCUGCGGAAGACGUGAGGACGGCAUUGUGUGACCAUGGCAACGGCUGAGUUACCGGAAGAAAUGGCCGCCGGACAACAAACUGCGGUGCAACCGUACAUGUUCGAGCCGGAGUCCGACCCAGAACAACAAGAGGCUUCAGAAGGAGUUCAGCAGCCAAGAAUGAACAUGGAUGUUUCUCAGUGUUUGGUGUUCCUGUGGCAGUUGUGAACAAGUGCCUACAGAGCCCAAGAAUAUCUGCUGUAUUGAAAUACCACAGGUUACACGAAGACCAAGUUACAGCAGCUUCCUGAGCAACCAUCAUGCAUGCUGGACCAUCCUGGCCUAGAGCCUGUCUGCCUGAAUGUGUUUUCACUGCAGAAUGCACUGAACAUUUAUCGGGCAGACUAUGGACCUUUACGUCUGAGGGGAAUAGUGCACCAAUAUAGAUACCUAGCCUACAGAAGCUUUGUAAGCUGGUGCUGGUGCUUUCUGGGGCGAAGAGUGAGAGCUGUGCUGCCUGCCUGUGUGGUGCUGAGGAUUCAUGCAGAGUUCCCCGACGCUGAAGGACAGUACGUU